rnacentral:rRNA from 1 species
GAUGAACGCUGGCGGCGUGCCUAAUACAUGCAAGUCGAGCGAACGGACGAGAAGCUUGCUUCUCUGAUGUUAGCGGCGGACGGGUGAGUAACACGUGGAUAACCUACCUAUAAGACUGGGAUAACUUCGGGAAACCGGAGCUAAUACCGGAUAAUAUUUUGAACCGCAUGGUUCAAAAGUGAAAGACGGUCUUGCUGUCACUUAUAGAUGGAUCCGCGCUGCAUUAGCUAGUUGGUAAGGUAACGGCUUACCAAGGCAACGAUGCAUAGCCGACCUGAGAGGGUGAUCGGCCACACUGGAACUGAGACACGGUCCAGACUCCUACGGGAGGCAGCAGUAGGGAAUCUUCCGCAAUGGGCGAAAGCCUGACGGAGCAACGCCGCGUGAGUGAUAAAGGUCUUCGGAUCGUAAAACUCUGUUAUUAGGGAAGAACGUAUGUGUAAGUAACUGUGCACAUCUUGACGGUACCUAAUCAGAAAGCCACGGCUAACUACGUG